rfam:Stegodyphus mimosarum contig76185, whole genome shotgun sequence.
GCCUUCGUGGUGUACUGGUCAGCAUGCUGGUCGCGUAUUCGAGAGGUCCGUGGUUCAAUUCCCGGCGAAGGCA